rnacentral:RNase_P_RNA from 1 species
CAAGCCGACCGGGCGAUCGCGGUUGGUCCGUGUCAUCCGCUGCUUCGGCGCGGGUGACGGUCGCACGAAGUGCGAUCCCAACCGAGGAAAGUCCGCCCUCCACAGGGUACGGUGCUGGCUAACAGCCAGGCGGGGUGACCCGACGGCAAGUGCAACAGAAAGCAGACCGCCUCGCGCAAGCGGGGUAAGGGUGAAAGGGUGGUGUAAGAGACCACCGGCGGCGGCAGUGAUGUCGCCGGCCAGGCAAACCCCACCGGGAGCAAGGCCAAGCAGGCGCAUUGGUGUGACCCGCACCGGAAAAAGCGCCGGGUGUGCCGCUUGACCUCGUGAGGUAACUCGCGAGGCAGAUAGAUGAUCGCCACCCCUCACAAGGGGUACAGAAGGCGGCUUACAGGUCGACUUGGGCG